GAAGCACGCCAGACCGCCGCUGGUGCAAUCUGGGAAACCAGGCACUGGAGGAACGUCCGGACUGCACAGGACAGCGUAGCAGCUAACGGCUGCCCACCGUGAGGUGAGGAUUAGAGCAACAGAGACGAGGGCAAUCUCUACGCGCAGCAAUACCAAGUAGGCCAACGUUGAUGUGGUUCCGCAGAGUUGGCGGGUAGGUAGCACCGAGCCGUGGUGGCGACACCCGGCCCAGAUUAAUGGCGGUCACGCUGCAGGGGCUCGCAAGAGCUUCGGCAGUGCACAGAAUCCGGCUUAUCGGUGUGCUUCACUU
rnacentral:RNase_P_RNA from 1 species